GGCCAUACAAUGCUGUAUAUACCGGUUCUCAUUCUAUCACCGAAGUCAAUCACCAUCAGGGGUGGUCAGCACUUGGGAGGGUGACCCCUGGGAACACCGAGUAGC